GAGUUGGAAUGUUCAGAAAAGCAAACAAAUAGCCUGUUCAUUACCAAAACACCAAUCACCCAUCAAGCAGAAAUAACUAAGUAGCUGUACUUUCUUGUUGCAAACUUUUAACAGAGUUGUAUGUGUUGUCAUGUCUUUAUAUAAUAAUCACAUCUGAUGAAAUUUCCGUUUAGACUAUAAAAUGAGCAAGAAGCACAAACUUUACUGUCAUGUUUUUAGACAGUAUACUCAACAACAAACACGUUGCAAUAGUUCUUAAUGUUACAGCGUCAGUUCCGCGUUCUGGAUUCAUUACAAGUUUUCAAAAAGCACGAGCACACAAACGAGUUCUCAAAAAAAAUACAGAUUAAAAAUAAAAACUACUUUGUGCAAGUUAAUAAGUGUUUCAAAUGGCAUCGUUUUUGUUUGUAAUUUAAAGUUUCUAUUGAAGAAUUUAGAUAAAAGUUUGAUGUCAAUAACCAAUACUUAACACAGAAAAUGUAAAGCAUCUCCUUGUCUUAAUUAAAAUAAAUCGGUGCUUACCCCAAGUAUAGACGUAGCCAUAUCCAGGCCCUUUCCUAGAGCAACUCUUUGAAGAGAACAAUGAGUGAAUGUUGCUGUGUGACUGAGGGACACUGCGCUCAAGCUUUCUCUCUCUACUCGAGAUGUAUAGUGAGCGCGUGCUUUGAAGUACAGCUGGCUGCAAUACGCAGCCAAUCUGAGCGCGCGCCGCGACGCGUCCGACCAAUAAGCGACGCGACCAUGACAGAAAUACUAAAGCUGUACGUCAAUCAAUGACUGGGGUACUGAUCCUACUGUCAUGCAAUAAGCUAUCAGCUAUUUUUCAACGUUUUAUAUAUAUAUUUGGCCAUCAAGGCGCAGUAUCUGCACAGAGUUUAGUGCUCGGGGCUUAUUUUGGUAUUUAAUAGGCAUCUUGCGGCGAGCCCAAAAUAUUUCGAACUUUCAAAUUAGGACCGGUCACCGCAGAAGAUUACACCUGGAUCAAGAGGACUGAUCUCACAACAGGUCUGAUCUGGUCUGUGUGUGCACCACAUCUCUCUGUUUGCAGGAAGUCACAACGGUGCGCCGCAUCCCAAGGUUUCCUCUUCUGCAUCACUGAGCCAGAUAAAAACACUGACUUCAGGCACCACCAACGCUGCCGUUCGCCCUCGCAAACACACUCACACCUGCCAGGACGUAACGUGCAGAAGGAAGACGCAGCCGCUGCUGUCCCCACUGGAGCAGAGAGGACGCGAGCCUUUGAUGUUCCACUCAAAAUUAUUAAUUCCCAGCGUCAGGUUUGCAGUUUCAUCUGCGUUUCAAGUCAGAAUCUCACUGUUCGAGCCAAGCUUCUGCUAUGCAAAUCAGUGCCUAAUGUGCAUGCUGUGUUUGGUGGGAAUCUUAAUGUAUUAGUUUAGAGAAAACGAAUGGCAUCGGUGUCAGUUGAUAUUGAUCUGAAAGCUUGAUAGACGCUCCCUGCUGGGCAUCAGAUGAGCUUCAUGUCUCCGCAAGGCCUUUAAAAACCCCACGCCAAAAGUUUUGGCACAUGACUUGAAAACUAAUGUAUGACAUAGAGUAACACAUUAGCAUACAUUCUUAACUGUUUGAUAAAACACAAGUCAUGUCAAAUAGAUACAUGACCUCAAUAUGACAAUAAUAAACUAUUAAAGAUACAGUUGACUUAAAAUAAUUUAGUUAUGUUUUAUUUACACUCAUGUCAUUUCAAUGUAU